AGUCGAACGGAAGGCCUCUUCGGAGGUACUCGAGUGGCGAACGGGUGAGUAACACGUGGGCAAUCUGCCCUGCACUUCGGGAUAAGCCUGGGAAACUGGGUCUAAUACCGGAUAGGACCUCAAGACGCAUGUCUUCUGGUGGAAAGCUUUUGCGGUGUGGGAUGGGCCCGCGGCCUAUCAGCUUGUUGGUGGGGUGACGGCCUACCAAGGCGACGACGGGUAGCCGGCCUGAGAGGGUGUCCGGCCACACUGGGACUGAGAUACGGCCCAGACUCCUACGGGAGGCAGCAGUGGGGAAUAUUGCACAAUGGGCGCAAGCCUGAUGCAGCGACGCCGCGUGGGGGAUGACGGCCUUCGGGUUGUAAACCUCUUUCACCAUCGACGAAGGUCCGGGUUUUCUCGGAUUGACGGUAGGUGGAGAAGAAGCACCGGCCAACUACGUGCCAGCAGCCGCGGUAAUACGUAGGGUGCGAGCGUUGUCCGGAAUUACUGGGCGUAAAGAGCUCGUAGGUGGUUUGUCGCGUUGUUCGUGAAAUCUCACGGCUUAACUGUGAGCGUGCGGGCGAUACGGGCAGACUAGAGUACUGCAGGGGAGACUGGAAUUCCUGGUGUAGCGGUGGAAUGCGCAGAUAUCAGGAGGAACACCGGUGGCGAAGGCGGGUCUCUGGGCAGUAACUGACGCUGAGGAGCGAAAGCGUGGGGAGCGAACAGGAUUAGAUACCCUGGUAGUCCACGCCGUAAACGGUGGGUACUAGGUGUGGGUUUCCUUCCUUGGGAUCCGUGCCGUAGCUAACGCAUUAAGUACCCCGCCUGGGGAGUACGGCCGCAAGGCUAAAACUCAAAGGAAUUGACGGGGGCCCGCACAAGCGGCGGAGCAUGUGGAUUAAUUCGAUGCAACGCGAAGAACCUUACCUGGGUUUGACAUGCACAGGACGCGUCUAGAGAUAGGCGUUCCCUUGUGGCCUGUGUGCAGGUGGUGCAUGGCUGUCGUCAGCUCGUGUCGUGAGAUGUUGGGUUAAGUCCCGCAACGAGCGCAACCCUUGUCUCAUGUUGCCAGCGGGUAAUGCCGGGGACUCGUGAGAGACUGCCGGGGUCAACUCGGAGGAAGGUGGGGAUGACGUCAAGUCAUCAUGCCCCUUAUGUCCAGGGCUUCACACAUGCUACAAUGGCCGGUACAAAGGGCUGCGAUGCCGUAAGGUUAAGCGAAUCCUUUUAAAGCCGGUCGAUCAGUUCGGAUUGGGGUCUGCAACUCGACCCCAUGAAGUCGGAGUCGCUAGUAAUCGCAGAUCAGCAACGCUGCGGUGAAUACGUUCCCGGGCCUUGUACACACCGCCCGUCACGUCAUGAAAGUCGGUAACACCCGAAUCCAGUGGCCUAACCCUUU
rnacentral:rRNA from 1 species